CCUGCAGCCGCCAGGCCCCCACCUGCCCUCUGCUCCCACUCCCCUCCCCACGCACUAGCGCCACCAGACGCCUUCGGGGGCUCCAUGUUCCCUUGAGAUUUGUCACCGAUUUCCCUCCUGCAGUGACUGCGAGUGGAUUUUGCAAGCGGAAGCCAGCAGUCUGAACCUGAUGGUCAUCUCAGCAUCUCACAGGUUACUGUUUCUGCACCUCCGUCUCUUCCCCUGCUGACCUAAAAUGCUGCCCUUCUGUGUGGGUACCGCGCACAUCCAAGUGUGUGCCUCAUGGCCGCAACUGCUACAAAGACCGUCGUUUAGUCGACUAAAGGAGAUGGCCAAAGAAAGAUGGAGAAAUAAGAUCAUACAUCCAAAUCAUCCUCUUAGAAAAUUAAUGCAAUAAUUUGCCAAAUGAAGAAAGAUGGAGUCAGAGUUGAAAAUCUUGUUAACAACUAGCCACAGAUUUGGAAGGAAUUUCAUCCAUUUAUUUAACGCACGUUUGAAUCUGCAACCACAAGCUGGAACCCUCUGCUUCAAAUUACUUCAUACCAACAACUGACAGUAUCCUGAGAGAAGCACUCACAUAAAGCGGAAUGUCCAUGCAUUGUAGGUUUUUCCUGGCCCAACUUCCUGCUAAUAAUACGCUGGCCCCCACACAGGUUGGAACGAACAUUUCACAAGCAUCUGACAUAAACACACGUUCUGAGGGAUCUGCUCAUGUUCGGCUUCCCAGGAGCUUUUUCCAGUACAUUUCCUGAUUGCUUGUAAUGGGCACGAUGCUAAGAAGGUCUUCACUCACAUCAAAAUGUUCUUUAAAAUCAUGCUAUGUUUUAUACCUGGGCUCUCAUGAGCUGAGGAAAAAAUGCCACAAUAAAUCUAACUUCUCCACAUAAUAUGUGCUGUAUGUG